rnacentral:rRNA from 1 species
GUAGGUGGCAAGCGUUGUCCGGAAUUAUUGGGCGUAAAGCGCGCGCAGGCGGUUCUUUAAGUCUGAUGUGAAAGCCCACGGCUCGACCGUGGAGGGUCAUUGGAAACUGGAGAACUUGAGUACAGAAGAGGAAAGCGGAAUUCCACGUGUAGCGGUGAAAUGCGUAGAGAUGUGGAGGAACACCAGUGGCGAAGGCGGCUUUUCUGGUCUGUAACUGACGCUGAGGCGCGAAAGCGUGGGGAGCAAACAGGGAUUAGAUACCCUGGUAGUCCACGCCGUAAACGAUGAGUGCUAAGUGUUAGGGGGUUUCCGCCCCCUUAGUGCUGCAGCUAACGCAUUAAGCACUCCGCCUGGGGAGUACGGCCGCAAGGCUG